rnacentral:rRNA from 1 species
GACGUAGGUGGCAAACGUUAUCCGGAAUUAUUGGGCGUAAAGGGUGCGUAGAUGGCCUGAUAAGUUAGCAGUGGGAAAUCGAGGCUCAACCUCGUGGAAGCUGGUAAUACUGUCAGGCUCGAGUGCAGGAGAGGUUAACGGAACUCCAUGUGGAGCGGUAAAAUGUGUAGAUAUAUGGAAGAACACCAAUAACGGCGAAGGCAGUUAACUAUUCUGUUACUGACAUUGAGGCACGAAAGCGUGGGGAGCAAAACGG